GAAAAUUUAUUAAAUUCCACCGACAAUGAACCUGUUGCCUUCGUCAUCCACCCACGGCAAUGGACCCAGAGCAUCAGCUUCGCAUGUUCUCGUGUCCCGCUGAAUCGUACUGUAAUCAGAUGAAAGAGGAUAGAAUUAUUCCGUGUAAAACCCUCAGCAUUUUGGCCAUUGCUUGCUUCCUCCCAAUGCCGUCGAUCCAAAUCUUCCACUCGAUUCUCCAUAUCUAGAGUUUGAAUCCAUGGCAAGAUUCGCCUCCAAGCCCGCUGCGAGGAAGUACCUCCUCGUUCUGGCGUGCAUCGCGCUCCUCGGGAUCGCCCUCGUCGCGGAUUUCCUCUGGGCUUCAUCCAAUGCCACCUCAUCCUCUCCCUAUUGGUCCACCACGCUGGAUUUCUCUUUAGAUAACGUCCCCAGCCUCGGCUCUCCCCUGGCCAACCAGGUUAAGAAGAUGAAUGAAAAGGAUGACAAAUCGGCAAUGCCGGAAGAUCUAAAUGCAACUUUUGCUGAUAUACCAGCACCGCUAUUGGAGUGGCAAGAGAUGGCAGAGGCACCGGUACCUCGAUUGGAUGGGGCUGCUAUACAGAUUAAGAAUCUUUUAUAUGUGUUUGCUGGAUAUGGUACCAUUGACUAUGUGCAUUCUCAUGUGGAUAUCUAUAAUUUUACUGAUAAUACAUGGGGAGGAAGGUUUGAUAUGCCCAAAGAAAUGGCACAUUCACAUUUAGGAAUGGUAACAGAUGGAAGAUACAUUUAUGUAGUCACUGGACAAUAUGGCCCCCAAUGUAGAGGGCCUACCGCUCGCAACUUUGUGCUGGACACAGAGACGAGAAAGUGGAGUGAUUUGCCAUCCUUACCUGUACCCAGGUAUGCACCAGCCACCCAACUUUGGAGAGGCAGACUCCAUGUUAUGGGUGGCAGCAAGGAGGAUCGUCAUGAGCCUGCAUUGGAUCAUUGGAGUCUUGCCGUAAAGGAUGGAAAAGCCUUGGAGAAAGAAUGGAGAAAUGAAAUACCCAUACCACGUGGUGGUCCCCACAGGGCUUGUGUUGUUGCUAAUGAUCAACUUCUUGUUAUUGGUGGUCAAGAGGGUGAUUAUAUGGCUAAGCCUGGAUCACCAAUUUUCAAAUGCUCCCGAAGAAAUGAGGUGGUGUAUAGUGAUGUCUACAUGCUUGAUGAUGGGGUAAAAUGGAAGCAACUGCCACCGAUGCCGAAACCAGAUUCCCAUAUAGAAUUUGCAUGGGUUAAUGUAAACAAUUCUAUUAUUGUUGUUGGAGGUACAACAGAGAAACACCCUGUGACCAAAAGAAUGGUGCUGGUUGGUGAAGUAUUUCGAUUCAAUUUAGAUACCUUGGUACUUCUAUCAAGAGGUCAUAAAGCCUUACUGCAUUAAUUAAGGUGCAACUUUCAUGCUCAAAGGCACAAACAAAAAGUUGGCUAGUGAACAGCAUAAGACACUGAUCGUAUGCGCUGCUGGUUCAACUUUCAACUACGUAGAACCGACAGUACCUUUAAAAAAAAAAAGACUUGUAACGCUCAAUGGUCUAAAGUAUAAAUGUAGGUGAACAGAUAAAAUCUCUUGACAGAAAUGUCACAAACGCAAUGUGGUAGAGCAGGUGGAAGCAUAGAUUGAGAAAUCUUAGGAAUGGUCAGUAAUUGGGCGAAUGCCUUUCCGCAUCAAGACUACUUUGGUUGGAUUCUGGAAUGGUUGGUUAUAUUUCACAUCAGGACAGCGCGACAAGGGACACAAGGACCCUGCUCCCAAGAAGGUAGUAGGAUGCAUGUGGAGGACAAAGUUGAGAUUGUCACUUCUCCCCUGAUCUAGCCCAAAUCAGGUUUUCUUGAGCUUUAUUCAGUUGGUAUGUGACACUUGUUAAAUUAUUUCAUUGGUUUUAGGGGUUUCUCUGUAGUACUAUAUAAGCAACCAAGCAUGUUCUUCCAUCCGUAGCCACCUGAAUUUUUGUAUUCCUCUUAUAUUUGCUAAUUUCUUUUCAGCAUUAGCUUUCCCA